rnacentral:rRNA from 1 species
UACGUAGGGUGCGAGCGUUGUCCGGAAUUAUUGGGCGUAAAGGGCUCGUAGGCGGUCUGUCACGUCGGGAGUGAAAACUCGGGGCUUAACCCCGAGCCUGCUUCCGAUACGGGCAGACUAGAGGUAUGCAGGGGAGAACGGAAUUCCUGGUGUAGCGGUGAAAUGCGCAGAUAUCAGGAGGAACACCGGUGGCGAAGGCGGUUCUCUGGGCAUUACCUGACGCUGAGGAGCGAAAGUGUGGGGAGCGAACAGG